rnacentral:rRNA from 1 species
GAUGAACGCUGGCGGCGUGCCUAAUACAUGCGAGCCGAGCGAACGGACGAGAAGCUUGCUUCUCUGAUGUUAGCGGCGGACGGGUGAGUAACACGUGGAUAACCUACCUAUAAGACUGGGAUAACUUCGGGAAACCGUAGCUAAUACCGGAUAAUAUUUUGAACCGCAUGGUUCAAAAGUGAAAGACGGUCUUGCUGUCACUUAUAGAUGGAUCCGCGCUGCAUUAGCUAGUUGGUAAGGUAACGGCUUACCAAGGCAACGAUGCAUAGCCGACCUGAGAGGGUGAUCGGCCACACUGGAACUGAGACACGGUCCAGACUCCUACGGGAGGCAGCAGUAGGGAAUCUUCCGCAAUGGGCGAAAGCCUGACGGAGCAACGCCGCGUGAGUGAUGAAGGUCUUCGGAUCGUAAAACUCUGUUAUUAGGGAAGAACAUAUGUGUAAGUAACUGUGCACAUCUUGACGGUACCUAAUCAGAAAGCCACGGCUAACUACGUG